rnacentral:rRNA from 1 species
AUGGUGGCGGGGUACGUUUGGUGCGGCGAGGUGGAGCUGUUCAAUGAAAUGCCGCAUCGGGACGCGUUCUCCUGGGCCGCCAUGAUUGAUGCCUACGAGAAGCGGUCUGGAGGUGUGGACAGUGCGUGCGAGCUGUUUGAUCAAAUGCUUGAGAGGGAUCUGGUGUGCUGGAAUUCGAUGAUCGAUGGAUAUGCUAGGCAGGGGAGGAUGGACGAGGCAAGGGCGCUAUUUGAUGAGAUGCCUGAGAGGAAUGCGAUCUCGUGGAGCAUUGUUGUAGACAGGUAUGUCAGGUGUGGCGAGCCUUCGGAGGCUUUGGAACUUUUCCGAAGGAUGCUGAGGUGCGGUAUUAGACCUGAUAGGGUCGCUGCAAUACGAUGGAGACGUAUCAGCCUGCGCACAGCUGGGGGCUCUGGAGGAAUGCAGGUGGCUGCACUCUUACUUGGAGAAGAAGAAGAUUUUGUUCGAUGUCGUGGUGAAGACAACUCUGAUAGAUAUGUACAUGAAAUGUGGGCGCUUGGAUCUCGCCAUGUUGAUCUUUGA